GACGUAGGGCGCAAGCGUUGUCCGGAAUUAUUGGGCGUAAAGAGCUCGUAGGCGGCUUGUUGCGUCGACUGUGAAAACCCGUGGCUCAACCAUGUGGUCUGCAGUCGAUACGGGCAGGCUAGAAUUCGGUAGGGGAGACUGGAAUUCCUGGUGUAGCGGUGAAAUGCGCAGAUAUCAGGAGGAACACCGAUGGCGAAGGCAGGUCUCUGGGCCGAUAUUGACGCUGAGGAGCGAAAGCGUGGGGAGCGAACAGG
rnacentral:rRNA from 1 species